UGACAUCAUUGGGACACUUUCAACAGCAUGGCAGGAAUUUCCUGCCAUUGAUCAAGCCCCACCUAUUCAGCUGAUGGGCCAGAGGAGAAACUCGAUCACCUAAUAAGAAAGAAGCAGAGGAGAGAGGAAGGAGAAAUUGAGAGAAAUGCCUAAACCUGGACAUCCUUGAACUUGAAGGGCUUCUGCACAGCACUGCGACUAAUACACGGUUUCCGGAGCAUUUGGG